CUCUCAUUCUCACCCUCCUCUCUCCCCCAAAUCCUCCCCAUCUCACCGAAAACUUCUCAUCGGAAUCGCUUAUCUAUAGUCGGCGGCAUAGAGCGGCACCGGAGUCCAUCAUUGGCGGCUGAAAUCACCUCUCACGUUCAAAAUCAUCCAAGAUCUCCAAAAUCAAUUGUAAAAAUUCAAAACCCUAGGUGAGUUCUUACUUCUUUUUUUAUUUGGGUUGUGAUUUUGUGGUAUUGUUGUGCUUUGUUGUUGUUGUUGUUGUUGCUGUGGUGUUGGGUUGGUGCGGUUGUGAUGGUUUGAUGAUUUGCAGUUGUUGAUGGCGGUGGUGCGUUGGUGUGUUGCAUGCGGGAUGUGAGAGUUGGAUGUUGUUGAUGGGUGUUGGAUGGCUGCUGCUGCCCAUUGGACGGAAUUUGCACAAAAAUACAGAGCAUUGCUUUUGCACGACAAUAGCACAGGCUCUGUAUUUCAUCUGUCGCACAAGUUUUUGUGUGAUCGGAUGAGCGUCGCACAAAAACAUAGAUCUCUCUGUGGAUAAUUUGUGUUUAUUUGUAUUUUAUCGUAAAGUUUAUUUUAAAUUUUUAUUGUAAUAAUUUUGUAAAAUUUUACAACGAAUAGAAAUUUGAUUUUGUUUUAGUUACAUGGCAAAAAACAAAUUGGCCAAGCGUAAUCCGCCCGCACCGAGGAAGGGUCUAGGUGUGAUGAAGUUAGG
rnacentral:lncRNA from 1 species